rnacentral:rRNA from 1 species
GACGAACGCUGGCGGCGUGCCUAAUACAUGCAAGUAGAACGCACAGUUUAUACCGUAGCUUGCUACACCAUAGACUGUGAGUUGCGAACGGGUGAGUAACGCGUAGGUAACCUGCCUGGUAGCGGGGGAUAACUAUUGGAAACGAUAGCUAAUACCGCAUAAUAUUAAUUAUUGCAUGAUAAUUGAUUGAAAGAUGCAACUGCAUCACUACCAGAUGGACCUGCGUUGUAUUAGCUAGUAGGUGAGGUAACGGCUCACCUAGGCGACGAUACAUAGCCGACCUGAGAGGGUGAGCGGCCACACUGGGACUGAGACACGGCCCAGACUCCUACGGGAGGCAGCAGUAGGGAAUCUUCGGCAAUGGACGAAAGUCUGACCGAGCAACGCCGCGUGAGUGAAGAAGGUUUUCGGAUCGUAAAGCUCGGUUGUAAGAGAAGAACGGGUGUGAGAGUGGAAAGUUCACACUGUGACGGUAUCUUACCAGAAAGGGACGGCUAACUACGUG